AAAAAUCUAGAUGACGGUAUAAUAUAGUGUUUUACCAUUAUAUAAUUUACAUUUUAUUACUGACCGUUUCUAGAACAAGUGGCAAGGGGCUCAGUGGUUGAUAUCCGAAUUUUCAAGUUUGAAUUCUAGUUGAUUCACAUUUAUAGCUAAGCUUAUUUCUGAAUAAAAUAAACGAAGCGGGUAGCAUAUGAUUUGCAUAAAAUAUCACAUUUGUCAUUAUAUUUAAUGGUAGAU
rnacentral:lncRNA from 1 species